rnacentral:rRNA from 1 species
UAAUACGAAGGGUGCAAGCGUUACUCGGAAUUACUGGGCGUAAAGCGUGCGUAGGUGGUUCGUUAAGUCAGAUGUGAAAUCCCCGGGCUCAACCUGGGAACUGCAUUUGAAACUGGCAAGCUAGAGUCUCGUAGAGGGGGGUAGAAUUCCAGGUGUAGCGGUGAAAUGCGUAGAGAUCUGGAGGAAUACCGGUGGCGAAGGCGGCCCCCUGGACGAAGACUGACGCUCAGGUGCGAAAGCGUGGGGAGCAAACAGGAUUAGAUACCCUGGUAGUCCACGCUGUAAACGAUGUCGAUUUGGAGGUUGUGCCCUUGAGGCGUGGCUUCCGGAGCUAACGCGUUAAAUCGACCGCCUGGGGAGUACGGCCGCAAGGUUA